GAGACGCACGGUCCUGUGUAAUCCUCACCAUGUAAGGUUCAGACAUUAGCAGGUCUGUUAGUUUUGUGCAUUAGAUACAAACUCUCGAUGACUGUUCGUCUCUUGAUUUUAGACUUCCAAAGAGAUGCCAUGUCAGGCUGCUGAUGUGGACAAAUGCAGUUCCUUUGCAGUCAUUCCAAAGACUUCCAAAGAGAUGCCAUGUCAGGCUGCUGAUGUGGACAAAUGCAGUUCCUUUGCAGUCAUUCCAAAGACUUCCAAAGAGAUGCCAUGUCAGGCUGCUGAUGUGGACAAAUGCAGUUCCUUUGCAGUCAUUCCAAAGACUUCCAAAGAGAUGCCAUGUCAGGCUGCUGAUGUGGA
ensembl:lncRNA